rnacentral:rRNA from 1 species
AGAUUGAACGCUGGCGGCAUGCCUUACACAUGCAAGUCGAACGGCAGCACGGGAGCAAUCCUGGUGGCGAGUGGCGAACGGGUGAGUAAUAUAUCGGAACGUGCCCAGUCGUGGGGGAUAACGCAGCGAAAGCUGUGCUAAUACCGCAUACGAUCUAUGGAUGAAAGCGGGGGAUCGCAAGACCUCGCGCGAUUGGAGCGGCCGAUAUCAGAUUAGCUAGUUGGUGGGGUAAAAGCCUACCAAGGCGACGAUCUGUAGCUGGUCUGAGAGGACGACCAGCCACACUGGAACUGAGACACGGUCCAGACUCCUACGGGAGCAGCAGUGGGGAAUUUGGACAAGU